AGCGAACGCUGGCGGCAGGCCUAACACAUGCAUGUCGAACGAACUCUUCGGAGUUAGUGGCGGACGGGUGAGUAACACGUGGGAACGUGCCUUUAGGUUCGGAAUAACUCAGGGAAACUUGUGCUAAUACCGAAUGUGCCCUUCGGGGGAAAGAUUUAUCGCCUUUAGAGCGGCCCGCGUCUGAUUAGCUAGUUGGUGAGGUAAAGGCUCACCAAGGCGACGAUCAGUAGCUGGUCUGAGAGGAUGAUCAGCCACAUUGGGACUGAGACACGGCCCAAACUCCUACGGGAGGCAGCAGUGGGGAAUCUUGCGCAAUAGGCGAAAGCCUGACGCAGCCAUGCCGCGUGAAUGAUGAAGGUCUUAGGAUUGUAAAAUUCUUUCACCGGGGACGAUAAUGACGGUACCCGGAGAAGAAGCCCCGGCUAACUUCGUG
rnacentral:rRNA from 1 species